GGGGGAAGUUAUGACAUCAAGUGGUUCCAGUCCCCCCAAAAUGCAGUUACGGGGAUCGAACCGUGGUCAUUCCUACCAAGUUCAGUGUCAAUCACCACUGAACCAACUAACAUUGGGUAAAAGUAAAAUAAAAUUUUAGUACCAUAAAGAUUUGUUGCGCUUCUUAAAAAAAAAUUGUUUUUUGCCGCCAUACUGAAACUUGUUCGCUACUUAAGUAGUGCCCCUGACGAUAAUUUUUUCCAAAAUUUUUGAUUUUAUAACCUCCCUAAAUGUGUAAAUCAGUAAUUAGUAGGGUGAGAAAAGUGUGGAGAGAAAAACGGAGUUCGGCCCAAAAUCAUUCAUUAGAGGGGAUAAACAAGAAACUGAGAUUGGUGAUUUAACUACCUAACUAGGGUGAUUAUCAAAAAAAAAAACUACCUAACUAGGGUUUACGAAUUGGGAUUUCUAUCUUCCGUGUUGCAGCAGCAGCAGAAUGUCGACGGAAUGCGAUUCCUCUUCUUUGUUCGGCGUUAUCCGUCCUCCUCCUCCACCUCCGGAAAACCUUGAAGAAAGAGGGAAGCGCCCAAAAUCGGAACCAGAAGAGAAGCAGAAACCUAAAUGGAAGCCUAGAGAAAAAGCGGCUUGGGAAUUGAAAGCAUUAAAAGAUCUCACGUUAAGUGAUUUCUCCAUGUAUGAUGAAGAUGUUGAGCCAUUUAUGUUUGGUUGUGAUAAAUUUGUGUAUAAGAAUAAGGCAAUGAUUAACCAAGAGAAGGAGAUUAAAGAUGCUAUGGCUGAUCAUGUAAAGCGAUCUCGCAACCUAUCUCCCUUCGAUGCUAUCACCCCUCCAAAAGUAACAACUAAAUUCGGAAUAUGCUGGCCUGCAGUACCGCUUGACAUGACUGAUGAUCUUCGCCUUGAACUCACUCCGCUAUGCAAUGCUGCUUUAGACAAGUUCAAUGCUGAUAAUCAGGAUACAAAUUAUGUUUUUGUUGAUGUUGUCAAGACAACAUGGAGACCUGGUGGUGUCUAUUACAUUACCUUUCAAGCACAAAAUGAUUCUCCCAACUGCCCUGUAGACACUUUCCAGGCAAGGGUAGUAAAAAUGAGGACUGGGCCACAUGCAGUCACGUCGUGUUCCAUUAAAAUCUAGUCGUGUUCCAUUAAAAUCUAGCACACGCCGCACCAUGGAAAUCAUAUCCACUGCAUCCAUCUACUGUGAACAUGGUUUUGGCUGUGUUAGAAACAUGGAGUGAAAUCAAGGCUGGACGACGGUAUUAAUGUAGAUGCUAUAUUUGCUAGAACAUGUUUGGAUUUUAACCACGUGUUUUGUGUCAUACUGUACAUAGAAGCUAAUGUUACUCGCAAACUUUGGAUACCUAUUAAAGUAAUUAUUAAUAUAUUAUUAUGACUCUUCUUCUUUACUUUUUUUUUUUUUUGACAAACUCUUCUUUUUGAACAAAAUGACAAACUGUUCUUCUUUACUUAGUCGAUGGAAACUCCGUCCACAAGUUACCAAUUGCAUUUUCUUUUUACACGUUAUUCUUAUUUUAGUUUUCCUCUGAAAUUUUGCAUUAGAAGCACUUGUCAUCAUCCUGAGUGAUAAAGACAAAUUGGAGUUGAGAUUAAAUGAAGGGAAAAUUACACUCAUUUACAGAUUUAUGUUAGUAUAACAUACCCUUUAUUUUCUGAUGCAUCACAAACCUCCCUUAUUUGUUUGAUGAAUGACUUAUAAGCACCUAUUUGCUAAACGUCUGUUUAUUCGGUCUCAUUCUAUUGUGUAUUAAGCAGCUAUCUCUCGACAAAUUGGCUCGAAGGAAACGCUAGGUAGCUGUAUAUCCUUUUAUGGCUUGAAGCAGUUGGCAUAGUGCGCCAGAAUUAUAGCAAGAUACUGUAUUACUCAACAGAGCAUUGAAACAUAGAAAAAUACUGUAUUACUCAACAGAAUUAUACAUAAGUUUACGAUAUGACUGUUUUAUGAUGGUUGGAGAAACCAACAACAAAUGUCGAAACAUUACCUCAUUGAAUUGAAUAUGAUCACUCAGCCGUUGAGCAUUAACCGAUCAUAUCUCAAUCAAACGAUUUUAAUCAUAUUGACUGCAUACAUACAGUCAUGGAAAUAUACAUGUUUGUAAUAUGUUAAAAGUAAGGGGGUGUAUUGGAUUGAGAUUUUGAAAGACAAUUUUAGCAAAAAAAGUCUUGAAGAUUUUAAAGGAUUUGGUGGGAUUGUAUUGAUUUUAUGAGAUUUUAAAAGAUGACUUUUUAUAAUCAAGAUUCUUAACACAUGAUUUUAAAGAUGCUAUGGCUGAUCAUGUAAAGCGAUCUCGCAACCUAUCUCCCUUCGAUGCUAUCGCCCCUCCAAAAGUAACAACAAAAUUCGGAAUAUGCUGGCCUGCAGUACCGCUUGACAUGACUGAUGAUCGUCGCCUGAGACUCACUCCGCUCUGCCAGGCUGCCUUAGACAAGUUCAAUGCUGAUAAUCAGGAUACAAAUUAUGUUUUUGUUGAUGUUGUCAAGACAACAUGGAGACCUGGUGGUGUCUAUUACAUUACCUUUCAAGCACAAAAUGAUUCUCCCAACUGCCCUGUAGACACUUUCCAGGCAAGGGUAGUAAAAAUGAGGACUGGGCCACAUGCAGUCACGUCGUGUUCCAUUAAAAUCUAGCACACGCUGCACCAUGGAAAUCAUAUCCACUGCAUCCAUCUGCUGUGAACAUAACAUGGUUUUGGUUGUGUUAGAAACAUGGAGUGAAAUCAAGGCUGGACAAAGUAGUUAAUUAAAUGUGACGGUAUUAAUGUAUAUGCUAUAUUUGCUAGAACAUUUUUGGAUUUUAACAGCUUGUUGUGUCAUACUGUGCGGAGAUGCUAAUGUUACUCGCAAUUCGCAAAUCUAUAACAAUAUAUAAAGGGGAUAGGAGAGUUUGAGUCGGCUUUUUCUUUGGUCUA